rnacentral:rRNA from 1 species
GACGAACGCUGGCGGCGUGCUUAACACAUGCAAGUCGAACGCUGAAGCCUGGCUUUUGUUGGGUGGAUGAGUGGCGAACGGGUGAGUAACACGUGAGUAACCUGCCCUCUUCUUUGGGAUAACGCCCGGAAACGGGUGCUAAUACUGGAUAUUCACUUGCCUUCGCAUGGGGGUGGGUGGAAAGGUUUUUUUCUGGUGGGGGAUGGGCUCGCGGCCUAUCAGCUUGUUGGUGGGGUGAUGGCUUACCAAGGCUUUGACGGGUAGCCGGCCUGAGAGGGUGACCGGUCACAUUGGGACUGAGAUACGGCCCAGACUCCUACGGGAGGCAGCAGUGGGGAAUAUUGCACAAUGGGCGCAAGCCUGAUGCAGCGACGCCGCGUGAGGGAUGGAGGCCUUCGGGUUGUGAACCUCUUUCGCUCAUGGUCAAGCCGCAACUCAUGGUUGUGGUGAGGGUAGUGGGUAAAGAAGCGCCGGCUAACUACGUGCCAGCAGCCGCGGUAAUACGUAGGGCGCGAGCGUUGUCCGGAAUUAUUGGGCGUAAAGGGCUUGUAGGCGGUUGGUCGCGUCUGCCGUGAAAUCCUCUGGCUUAACUGGGGGCGUGCGGUGGGUACGGGCUGACUUGAGUGCGGUAGGGGAGACUGGAACUCCUGGUGUAGCGGUGGAAUGCGCAGAUAUCAGGAAGAACACCGGUGGCGAAGGCGGGUCUCUGGGCCGUUACUGACGCUGAGGAGCGAAAGCGUGGGGAGCGAACAGG